CAGCCGCCGCGGUAAUACGAAGGGGGCUAGCGUUGUUCGGAUUUACUGGGCGUAAAGCGCACGUAGGCGGAUCGAUCAGUCAGGGGUGAAAUCCCAGAGCUCAACUCUGGAACUGCCUUUGAUACUGUCGAUCUGGAGUAUGGAAGAGGUGAGUGGAAUUCCGAGUGUAGAGGUGAAAUUCGUAGAUAUUCGGAGGAACACCAGUGGCGAAGGCGGCUCACUGGUCCAUUACUGACGCUGAGGUGCGAAAGCGUGUGGAGCAAACAGGAUUAGAUACCCCCGUAGUCCCUGUCUCUUAUAC
rnacentral:rRNA from 1 species